rnacentral:rRNA from 1 species
GCGGGCCUAAUACAUGCAAGUCGAGGGGCAGCAUGAAUGUAGCAAUACAUUCGAUGGCGACCGGCGCACGGGUGAGUAACACGUAUGCAACCUACCUACUACAGGGGGAUAGCCCGUUGAAAGACGGAUUAAUACCGCAUAACACAGGGAUUCCGCAUGGAAAUAUUUGUUAAAGAAUUAUCGGUAGUAGAUGGGCAUGCGCUUCAUUAGCUAGUUGGGGAGGUAACGGCUCACCAAGGCAACGAUGAAUAGGGGAACUGAGAGGUUUAUCCCCCACACUGGUACUGAGACACGGACCAGACUCCUACGGGAGGCAGCAGUGAGGAAUAUUGGUCAAUGGACGCAAGUCUGAACCAGCCAAGUCGCGUGAAGGAAGACUGCCCUACGGGUUGUAAACUUCUUUUGUACAAGAGUAAAGUGACCUACGUGUAGGUUUUUGCAAGUACUGUACGAAUAAGCAUCGGCUAACUCCGUGCCAGCAGCCGCGGUAAUACGGAGGAUGCGAGCGUUAUCCGGAUUUAUUGGGUUUAAAGGGUGCGUAGGCGGAAUAUUAAGUCAGCGGUGAAAGUUUGAGGCUCAACCUUAAAAUUGCCGUUGAAACUGGUAUUCUUGAGUAUAGAUGAAGUAGGCGGAAUUCGUGGUGUAGCGGUGAAAUGCAUAGAUAUCACGAAGAACUCCAAUUGCGAAGGCAGCUUACUAAGGUAUAACUGACGCUGAGGCACGAAAGCGUGGGUAUCAAACAGGAUUAGAUACCC